AGGAAAUAAAUAGAUUAAAAUGAAUACAAUGUUUAGAAUUACUAUACACCUUGAUAUUAAUAAAAAAAAUUAAUAUUAUACAACUAUUUCAAUAUUUUAAAACAAAUAUAUUUUUAUGUUGUUUGAAAGAUAUUGGUCAAUCACAUAACAAAUAAAAAACAUCUUAUAAAAUUCGAAAUUACAAAAAUCAAUCAUUUUUUUAAAAAAUAACAUCAAUAAUGAAAGGUCAUUUCUAGAAGAUUAUAUCACUUUGAACCAAACCUUGGUCCCAUAGUGGUGCACUGCAGGUUCAUUUCUUUCAUGCUUUGUUUAUUUGCCUCAUGCAUGGCAAUGCUGACUAUAAGUAAAUCACAUGCAUAUUUGAUAUUUUUCUGUGGCAAACUCGGUUUGAGUGCUGGUAUUGGUGGAACUGGAGCAUACUGCACCAUUCACAACACAAUUCAGACAAUACUUGCUGGUGAUAUGUCUGCUGUAAAUAUUGCUGACGCAGUGGCUACCUUCAGAACCCAGCGUCUUAGAAUGGUCCAGACUCAGGCUCAGUACAAUUUCUGCUAUAAAGCUAUCAUAGAAUAACUGGAAGACCUUGUAUCUCAACAGUAAUAAGAAUAGAAGGUGUUGGACCAAAGGAUGUUAAGCUUCUUGCCUCAUUUUGAAGUCAACUUUCAAUUCUUCCAUGUUCUAUUUGGGUCCGACAAUGCUUAUGUCUCCCAGCAGCUUGAUCUCAAGCAUUAAUUAGCUUUCAGGAUAUUUUGUGAAUUUUGAACUAUGUUAUUUUCAAACUUUCAUGUAUGUUAGAAAGGCCUUAGUGCUUCAAUUUGUAUGUUGCUAAAUAAUUGGUCAGCAACCAAAGUCCUCUAGAGACAUGGAGUUAUUUGUUGUGAUGUUUUAUUUUUAAGAGCGGAAAUUUUAGGUAGCUUUAUUAUUGUUUUUCAGUUAUAUUCCAGCUUUAUAUAAAAGUAGUAACUUGCUUGUAA